rnacentral:rRNA from 1 species
CCUACGGGAGGCAGCAGUGGGGAAUAUUGCACAAUGGGGGAAACCCUGAUGCAGCGACGCCGCGUGAGCGAAGAAGUAUUUCGGUAUGUAAAGCCCUAUCAGCAGGGAAGAAGAAAUGACGGUACCUGAAUAAGAAGCACCGGCUAAAUACGUUCCAGCAGCCGCGGUAAUACGUAGGGUGCAAGCGUUAUCCGGAUUUACUGGGGGUAAAGGGAGAGGAGGCGGCAAGGCAAGCCUGAUGUGAAAGCCCGCGGCCUAACCGCGGGACUGCAUUGGGAACUACCGGGCUGGAGUGCCGGAGAGGAAGGCGGAAUUCCUAGUGUAGCGGUGAAAUGCGUAGAUAUUAGGAAGAACACCAGUGGCGAAGGCGGCCUACUGGACGGUAACUGACGCUGAGGCUCGAAAGCGUGGGGAGCAAACAGGAUUAGAUACCCGUGUAGUC